AUCCUUCAGUUCAUGAGUGUGAUGAUUGGGUAUUCAUGCCUUAUGCAGGAGAUAUGCCUCUCUCAAACCUUGCUAUGACAUGGGCACAUUGCCUGCCUGACU